rnacentral:rRNA from 1 species
AUACGGAGGGACCAAGCGUUGUUCGGAAUCACUGGGCGUAAAGCGCGCGUAGGCGGAUUGACAAGUUGGAGGUGAAAUCCCGGGGCUCAACCCCGGAACUGCCUUCAAAACUGUCAGUCUUGAGUUCGGAAGAGGUGAGUGGAAUUCCUAGUGUAGAGGUGAAAUUCGUAGAUAUUAGGAAGAACACCAGUGGCGAAGGCGACUCACUGGUCCGAUACUGACGCUGAGGUGCGAAAGCGUGGGGAGCAAACAGGAUUAGAAACCCCAGUAGUCC